GCCGGGGUAGCUCAAUCGGUAGAGCGUGUGGCUCUUAGCAAAGUCCAACCUCAAGGUUGCGGGUUCGAGUCAGUCAUUCACCA